rnacentral:rRNA from 1 species
CCCUGGCGGCGUGCAUAACACAAGCAAGUCGGAACGAUGAACCUUAGAUGAUUUUCUUCGGGAUGAACUUAAGUGGAUUAGUGGCGAACGGGUGAGUAACACGUGAGUAACCUGCCUUACACAAGGGGAUAGCCUCUGGAAACGGAGAAUAAUACCCUAUAAAGUCUAAUCAGCCCAUGCUGGAAAGACCAAAGAUUUAUCGGUGUAAGAUGGACUUGCGUCUGAUUAGCUAGUUGGUGAGAUAAAAGCUCACCAAGGCGACGAUCAGUAGCCGGCUUGAGAGAGUGUACGGCCACAUUGGGACUGAGACACGGCCCAAACUCCUACGGGAGGCAGCAGUGGGGAAUUUUGCACAAUGGGGGAAACCCUGAUGCAGCGACGCCGCGUGAUUUAGAAGGCCUUCGGGUUGUAAAAAUCUUUUUUACGGGAUGAAAAUGACAGUACCGUAAGAAUAAGGUCCGGCUAAAUACGUGCCAGCAGCCGCGGUAAUACGUAUGGACCGAGCGUUGUCCGGAAUCAUUGGGCGUAAAGGGUACGUAGGCGGCCUAGUAAGUUAGAAGUUAAAGAAUAUAGCUCAACUAUAUAAAGCUUUUAAAACUGCUAGGCUUGAGAGAUGGAAGGGAAAGUGGAAUUCCUAGUGUAGCGGUGAAAUGCGCAGAUAUUAGGAAGAAUACCGGUGGCGAAGGCGACUUUCUGGUCAUCAUCUGACGCUGAGGUACGAAAGCGUGGGUAGCAAACAGGAUUAGAUACCCUGGUAGUCCACCGCUGUAAACGAUGAGUGUUAGGUUCUUGGAAUAAUCUGGGAGCCGCAGCUAACGCAUUAAACACUCCGCCUGGGGAGUACGCACGCAAGUGUG